AUUGUGACUCCAUUUCUAAUUUAUGAAACCAGGAAGAAGAACGAAGGAAACAGGAAGAGGAGUCAAGGAAAUUAAAGGAAGAAGAAAAGCAAAAUGAGGAGGAAAAACUAUUAUAUCUGGCAGAGCAACGCCGUCGUCAAGAGGAAGAAAGGAAACAAAAAAUUGCUGAGGUAGAACGCAUCGCCCGUGAGAAAAAGGAGUUAGAAUACCUUAAAUUGCUUGAAGCACAGCGCAUUGCUGAGUUACAACAAGCUAAAUUGACAAGCUCAGCAGUUAAAAAGAUUGCACUAGCUGAUAACAAGGAAACUGGACUAAAUCAUACAUUCACUUUAAGUGAUAACAAGGAAAAUGGUCUUAAUACCACAUUUUCCAAAACUACUGGACCGUCUCAGUCAAGUUCUACUGGGAAAAACAAAGAUAGUUAUGACAUUACACCAAACUCCAAGAAAUAUAAGAAAAAUAUUAAUAAUUAUGAUAUAAAUGAUAUUGAGAGUGAUGACUCAACUGAUGAGGACAGUGCUCCUAAGAGGAAAAUUCCUCCCUGGGCUAUGAGUAAGUUUAAAAUUUGGAUAUUAAUUUUUUCCUAUUGUUUGGGAUUUUAUGAAUAGAAUAUGUAAUGGUUACAUACUUAUAGAUUGUUGUAUCAGACACAUUGCAGUAGUUAUAUUGUACAACCUCCCUCGGUAUUUUUGUUCCAUAGUAAGGCAGGUUGAAAGUGCAAACAA
rnacentral:lncRNA from 1 species